GACGAACGCUGGCGGCAUGCUUAACACAUGCAAGUCGAACGGAAAGGCCUGCUUUCCCUUGUGGAUUGCGGGUACUCGAGUGGCGAACGGGUGAGUAACACGUGAGUGAUCUGCCCCCAACUUGGGUAUAAGCCUGGGAAACUGGGUCUAAUUCCCGAUAGGCCUGCAGGGUGGUGCCUGUGGUGGAAAACGAUUUUCUAGUGGUUGGGGAUGAGCUCGCGGCCUAUCAGCUUGUUGGUGGGGUAAUGGCCUACCAAGGCGGCGACGGGUAGCCGGCCUGAGAGGGUGGACGGCCACAUUGGGACUGAGAUACGGCCCAGACUCCUACGGGAGGCAGCAGUGGGGAAUAUUGCACAAUGGGCGGAAGCCUGAUGCAGCGACGCCGCGUGGGGGAUGACGGCCUUCGGGUUGUAAACUCCUUUCGACCGCGAGGAAGCCACCUGGUUGGAAGGGUGGUGACGGUAGUGGUAGAAGAAGCACCGGCUAACUACGUG
rnacentral:rRNA from 1 species